AAAGGCAAUUGUGGUGCCAUUUAUAAGUGGUCAGGCAUCAUUCUUUGAGACUUUGACAUAUGAUUUGUUUUUAAGCAAAUAAUAGAGCAUGUUGUCGAAAUCAAUUUGAAGAUAGACUUCAUUGCUUUGCUUACGUACACUGGUGAUAAGGUUCGAUCCACUGUUAGUAAUCAUAGCUUGAGCAGAAGGCAGCUGCUGCAUUGAUUUCACAAAUAACGUCCACAUCAAACCAUUUAACACGAA